rfam:Vibrio metschnikovii CIP 69.14 VIB.Contig146, whole genome shotgun sequence.
UCAUCACCAUCAUCAUCCCUAGCCAGUCUUUCGGGAGAUGUACGCAUACCCGGGAGGCAGGACGCUCCCGGUGGUUAAAUCAAAAGUAUAUUUAGAUUUUAAACCCUUGGGAGAGCACUCUUCCAAGGGUUUUUUUAC